AUUGAACGCUGGCGGCAGGCCUAACACAUGCAAGUCGAGCGGAUGAAGGGAGCUUGCUCCUGGAUUCAGCGGCGGACGGGUGAGUAAUGCCUAGGAAUCUGCCUGGUAGUGGGGGAUAACGUCCGGAAACGGGCGCUAAUACCGCAUACGUCCUGAGGGAGAAAGUGGGGGAUCUUCGGACCUCACGCUAUCAGAUGAGCCUAGGUCGGAUUAGCUAGUUGGUGGGGUAAAGGCCUACCAAGGCGACGAUCCGUAACCGGUCUAAGAGGAUGAUCAGUCACACUGGAACUGAGACACGGUCCAGACUCCUACGGGAGGCAGCAGUGGGGAAUAUUGGACAAUGGGCGAAAGCCUGAUCCAGCCAUGCCGCGUGUGUGAAGAAGGUCUUCGGAUUGUAAAGCACUUUAAGUUGGGAGGAAGGGCAGUAAGUUAAUACCUUGCUGUUUUGACGUUACCAACAGAAUAAGCACCGGCUAACUUCGUG
rnacentral:rRNA from 1 species